CCCCUAGAUGUUCUGGGCCGCACGCGCGCUACACUGAACAGUUCAACAAGUCUUAACCUUGGCCGAUAGGUCUGGGUAAUCUUUGAACGCUGUUCGUGAUUGGGAUAGACCUUUGCAAUUAUGGGUCUUCAACGAGGAAUUCCUAGUAAACGCAAGUCAUCAGCUUGCAUUGAUUACGUCCCUGCCCUUUGUACACACCGCCCGUCGCACCUACCGAUUGAAUGGUCCGGUGAAGCCUCGGGAUUAUGAACAAUGCCUUUGUUGGCAUUGUUUGUGAGAACUUGUCUAAACCUUAUCAUUUAGAGGAAGGUGAAGUCGUAACA
rnacentral:rRNA from 1 species